UACGGAGGAUGCAAGCGUUAUCCGGAAUUAUUGGGCGUAAAGCGCACGUAGGCGGCUUUGCAAGUCGGAUGUGAAAUCCCUCGGCUUAACCAAGGAAGUGCAUCCGAAACUGCAGAGCUUGAGUACUUAAGAGGAUCGCGGAAUUCCCGGUGUAGAGGUGAAAUUCGUAGAUAUCGGGAGGAACACCAGUGGCGAAGGCGGCGAUCUGGGAAGAUACUGACGCUGAGGUGCGAAAGCGUGGGGAGCAAACAGG
rnacentral:rRNA from 1 species